AACGAACGCGGGCGGCAUGCCUAACACAUGCAAGUCGAACGAUGCCUUCGGGCAUAGUGGCGCACGGGUGCGUAACGCGUGGGAAUCUGCCUUUCGGUUCGGAAUAACUCAGGGAAACUUGAGCUAAUACCGGAUAACGUCGCAAGACCAAAGAUUUAUCACCGAAAGAUGAGCCCGCGUAGGAUUAGCUAGUUGGUGAGGUAAAGGCUCACCAAGGCGACGAUCCUUAGCUGGUCUGAGAGGAUGAUCAGCCACACUGGGACUGAGACACGGCCCAGACUCCUACGGGAGGCAGCAGUGGGGAAUAUUGGACAAUGGGCGAAAGCCUGAUCCAGCAAUGCCGCGUGAGUGAUGAAGGCCUUAGGGUUGUAAAGCUCUUUUACCCGGGAAGAUAAUGACGGUACCGGGAGAAUAAGCCCCGGCUAACUCCGUG
rnacentral:rRNA from 1 species